GUCCUUAUCGUCUAGAGGUUAGGACAUUACCCUUUCACGGUAAUAACACGGGUUCGAAUCCCGUUAAGGAUA
rnacentral:tRNA from 1 species